rnacentral:rRNA from 1 species
UACGUAGGGGGCAAGCGUUGUCCGGAUUUAUUGGGCGUAAAGAGCGUGUAGGCGGCCAGGUAGGUCUGCUGUGAAAACUCGAGGCUUAACCUCGAGAUGUCGGCGGAAACCAUCUGGCUAGAGUCCGGAAGAGGAGAGCGGAAUUCCAGGUGUAGCGGUGAAAUGCGUAGAUAUCUGGAGGAAUACCGGUGGCGAAGGCGGCAUCCUGGACCGGCAUUGACGCUGAGGAGCGAAAGCCAGGGGAGCAAACGGG